GGGAUGAACGCUGGCGGCGUGCCUAAUACAUGCAAGUCGAGCGGUAAGGCCCCUUCGGGGGUACACGAGCGGCGGACGGCUGAGUAACACGUAGGAACGUACCCCAAAGUGAGGGAUAAGCACCAGAAAUGGUGUCUAAUACUGCAUGUGCUCUUCGGAGGAAAGCUUCGGCGCUUUGGGAACGGCCUGCGCAUGAUUAGCUUGUUGGUGAGGUAAUAGCUCACCAAGGCGACGAUCAUUAGCUGGUCUGAGAGGAUGAUCAGCCAGACUGGGACUGAGAACGGCCCAGACUCCUACGGGAGGCAGCAGUAGGGAAUUUUCCACAAUGGGCGAAAGCCUGAUGGAGCAACGCCGCGUGCAGGAUGAAUGCCUUCGGGUUGUAAACUGCUUUUAUAUUGUGACGAAUAUGACGGUAGCAUAUGAAUAAGGAUCGGCUAACUCCGUGCCAGCACGCCGC
rnacentral:rRNA from 1 species